GAGUAAAUAAAAAAGUGAAAAACAAAUGUAAUUAGAAAAAAGUGAAACAGUGGAAAGAUAAAGAAAAGUGGAGUAACAUGAGUUAUGACUAACAAAGAUUCUGACUGAAUAACACUAAUAGAGCAAAACUUUUGGGAGAAAACAUUUACUCCAUAUUCAGCUCACAAUUUCACCAAUCAAGUAAAACAAAAGUUUUGUCAACUUACAUUGUGUACUAUUUAAAAAGAGGUAAAUGUAUUACUUUUAUCUCUCAUUGUUUUACUCUAUAUUUUUCCCCCCAUUUACUCUAUUGUUUUUCUUCCCAUUUACUCUAUUUUAUUUACUCUCAAUAUCUCCACUAAUUACCAAUCACUCUCAAAAUCUAGAGUAAAUGAGUGUGAAUGGUAACAG
rnacentral:lncRNA from 1 species